CAGUGGUGUGAUUGAUCCUUUGACCUACGGUAUGUUAGCUAUUCGUAGCGAGGCUACUUAGUUUGACUACACGUUCUCUUGAUCUCAAGCUAUUUAGAAAAUUGUAGGUUCAGGCUCGCUGUUUGAAGUAGGAUGCACUUAGAUGGAAUCUAUCGAUCUUGGCAGAAAAAGAGAAGUCCUAUACGAUUCGUAAGACUGAGUUCAAAAAAUCUCUAACCAGAGUAAAUGUGAAUACUAAAAAAGAGUUUUCAUAAGAUUCAUAGAUGAACUUGAGUCAAGUCAAUCUAGCAUAUGACUGACGAUG
rnacentral:lncRNA from 1 species